GCCUACGGGGCGCAGCAGUGGGGAAUAUUGCACAAUGGGGGGAACCCUGAUGCAGCAAUGCCGCGUGGGUGAAGAAGCACUCCGGUGCGUAAAGCCCUGUCAGCAGGGAAGAAAAUGACAGUACCUGGACAAGAAGCCCCGGCUAACUACGUGCCAGCAGCCGCGGUAAUACGUAGGGGGCAAGCGUUAUCCGGAUUUACUGGGUGUAAAGGGAACGUAGACGGCGUGCCAAGUCUGGUGUGAAAGGCCGGGGCUCAACCCCGGGACUGCAUUGGAAGCUGGCAUGCUGGAGUGCCGGAGGGGCG
rnacentral:rRNA from 1 species